rnacentral:rRNA from 1 species
CUACGGGCCGCUGCAGUGAGGAAUAUUGCACAAUGGGGGGAACCCUGAUGCAGCAACGCCGCGUGGAGGAUGACGCAUUUCGGUGUGUAAACUCCUUUUAUAUGUCAAGAAAAUGACGGUAGCAUAUGAAUAAGCACCGGCUAACUCCGUGCCAGCAGCCGCGGUAAUACGGAGGGUGCAAGCGUUACUCGGAAUCACUGGGCGUAAAGGACGCGUAGGCGGGUGGGAAAGUCAUGUGUGAAAUCCUACAGCUUAACUGUAGAACUGCACUUGAAACUUCUAAUCUAGAGUAUGGGAGGGGGAGGUGGAAUUAGUGGUGUAGGGGUAAAAUCCGUAGAUAUCACUAGGAAUACCUAAAGCGAAGGCGAUCUCCUGGAACAUUACUGACGCUAAGGCGUGAAAGCGUGGGGAGCAAACAGGAUUAGAUACCCUCGUAGUC